rnacentral:rRNA from 1 species
UACGUAGGGGGCGAGCGUUUGUCCGGAUUUAUUGGGCGUAAAGAGCGUGUAGGCGGCCAGGUAGGUCUGCUGUGAAAACUCCGGAGGCUCAACCUCGAGACGUCGGCGGAAACCAUCUGGCUAGAGUCCGGAAGAGGAGAGUGGAAUUCCUGGUGUAGCGGUGAAAUGCGCAGAUAUCAGGAAGAACACCCGUGGCGAAGGCGGCUCUCUGGGACGGUACUGACGCUGAGACGCGAAAGCGUGGGGAGCGAACAGG